rnacentral:lncRNA from 1 species
GACUAAGACUGAGACAAAUGGAGACUGAGACAGAGACUGAGACAGACAAAACUGAGACAAAUAGAGACUGAGACAGACAAGACUGAGACAAAUAGAGACCAAGACAGAUGGACAAAUAGAAACAGACAGAUGGACAAGACUGAGACAGAGACUGAGACAGACGGACAAUUAGAGACUGAGACAGACGGACAAGACAAAUAGAGACUGAGACACAUGGACAAAUAGAGACCGAGAGCAGGACAAGAUAGAGACUAGAGACUGAGACGGACAAUUAGAGACUGAGACAGACGGACAAGACAAAUAGAGACUGAGACACAUGGACAAAUAGAGACCGAGACAGACAAAUAGAGACUAAGACAGAUGGAUAAGACUGAGACAAAUAGAGACUGAGACAGACAGACAAGACUGAGACAAGAGACUGAGAUCAACUGAGACAGACUGAGACAGAUAGACACAAGACAGAGACCAGACUGAGACAGACAGAGUUCCAAAGCCCUCCCCCAGGGACCUGGCUGUCCCUGUGUAUCGCCCUAAGUGAGAAGAGACCCUGGAUGAGUCCCUCCAAGGGCUGGCUCAGAGAGGGAGCAAAGUUAAAUCAUAAGACUGUCCUUGAAAGGCCCAGUGGUUAGCGCAGAGUAGUUGCUUAUCAGCAUCACUAUACAUUGACACACAGCAGUCCCAGGCCUGGACUUGGAAUCAGAAGCUGUGGACUCGGAAUACUCCCCCCACCAACACUUCCUGGCUGUGUGGCCUCAGGAACUUUCCAUAAAAUGGAUUGGCUUGAGGACCACUAGAAUCCCUCCACAGUGUGGAUGCACAAUCUGCCCAGAUUAGAGCUGUUGCUCCGGCGCAGGCCAAAAUGCUUCACCUGGCGGACCCAGUCAGUGCACCUGGAAAAGGCAGAUAAUAAAACAUGCACCACCAACCCCAAAGGGAUAGUGACCUUCAAGUGCCAUCACUUGUCCCUUUAGGCUCAUUAUUUCCAUCAGAUAGUACUGGGAGGGCUAUCCCAGUACUUCAGGCAGGGUAACCAGCGUGGGCAAAGCCAGGAGGUGGGAACAUCCCUAGAAACCAUCCCCCUUCUAUUGCUGCCCCACUUCAGACUGGGGCCUUUAUCUGUGUGAUGAGAGGCCUGGAUCCCAGCACCCACCGUCCCUCCCACCUCUGCGCCACCCUCUGCCACCCGGGCAAGGAGCGAGUGACUCCUCGGAGAGCUGCGCCCUGGAAGGCCUCCAAGGAGGCCGGGGAGGAGAGCUGCAGCAGGGAACAAAUCCCAGCUUGUGCACGAGAAAGAGCCGACUCAGCAGAACGCCGCCAGGUUCUGAUGAAAAACACCAUCCCGGUGAUGACUUCAUGACAUUCCUUUCCGCUUAUUUAGUUCCACGGGCAAAUUUAAUUUAAAGGGAAAAAAAGAAAAUACGUUUUUAAAGACGCAUUAGUGUCUAAGAAAUCCAAGCAGUUCCCAAGCUAAUUAGGAGAUGGGCCAUGAGAGCCCCUGGGAGCGAACGGAAGAGAAGAUGGCGCCAGGCAGGCUCGGCCACCUCCUGACCCCUCCCGGCUCUCCAGUGAAGAGGCCCCAGAGAUCGAGAGAGCCCCUGCUUCCCAGGGGGCUCUGUGGGGAGGCUACUUGGGAGGUGCUUUAGAGACCCCCAGCACCAGCUAAAGGACCCCGCACCAGGAGUAGGGAAGGUUUGGGGGCAAAUCCUGCCCCAGACCCGUACCACUGUCCCCUUGGGCACUGAACUGUGUCUCAGUCUGUACAAUGGGGCACGAGCAGCUCACAAGGCUGCUGUGGUGGGACCGAGACCACCUCAGACGCGUUAGCUGCUCUCAUGGCCGCGCCUCCAGCCCCGCCCCGCUGCGCUCUGGAUUCUGCUGCCCCAGGAACCUCACUCCUUGCCACCUGCCAAGUAAACCCUUUGGGCCAGGGCUGGUAGGACGCCAAGCUAAACAGCCUCUAGAGACCGCCCAGGCAGACCCCUCAUUCACAGAGGCGGGUCCCUCAGACCCCCUGGAAGUCACAGUGAGAAGAGCUAACGGGAACCUGCCCUCAGUCAAAAGGAGACAAAGUACCUGCGCUCGGUUUCAGUGGGACGAGUCGGAGGAGGGACCACCCACAAAAGGCCACCACCUGUUCUCGACACCCAUAUUCCUAAGUGUCCUCGAGGAUGAAGAAAGAAAAACAACUUUGAUGGAACAAGAAGCUGAGGGGGGGAGCGAUGGCUGGAAUCUGACUCAGCCCCACACCCAUCCCUUCUGCUCAGGCUGCUGCCUCCCCCCCAGGGGUCCAGGCCCUCCCUUCCGCCCUCCUGGCCAGCACGUCCUAGGUGCGAGCUUCACCUGCCCCACACCUCCCAAACAAGGCACUUCUCUGCCCAGAACUCGCGGCCCAGAAGGCCUAGAAGACAAAAUAUUCGAUCCCUGGGCCAGGCACUUCACAAUGCUCCAGGCAGGAGCCCUGCUCCAAUCUCUCACAAGGGCUCAUGUCAUCAUUCACAUCCUAGAAUUUAUAACGGGACAUCAGCUAAUGAGGUCGAGGCAACACGCAAUUAUUAAGCACUUACUAUGUACCUGGGCAGAAAUUAAUUUCCCUUCUCAGCUCUUUGUACCAAAAUCCUUUCGAUGGGAUCAGAGAUAUGGGGCUGGAUACGGAUAUCCAUCAGAGAUCGUCUCAUCCAACAAAUGAGGAAACCGAGGCAGCCCAAGGGAGAGGACAUGAGCUGGAAAAUCAUAGGAACAAAGACUUUGAGCCAGAGGGGCCUGAGGAGGCUCACAAAGGCUAUUGCAGACGAGAAAGCGAAGGCCCAGGAGGAACAGCGAGGGUCCUAGAGGCCCAAGGUCUGCGCCACCAGCUGUCUGCUCUAGACCCAGGCUGAUUUGGAGCCAGGGCUCCCCGCUCCCCUCCCCUCCCAGGAUGCUCAGCAAUGCCAUCUCUUUCAGGAAGUCUUCCGAGAUCUCCCCCCAUUCUCCAAACCCACCUCACCUGCCCCAGAGACUCUGCGGCGGCUUCGCAGCCCCAUCAGACUGGCAGCUCCCUGAGCGGGGCGCGUCCCUUUAUUCUGGGGCUGCCUCCUUGCAGGGCCCUGGGCUUGACAAACAGGUGCAUGAAACAUUUAUCUAAUGCCCCCCCCAAAACAAUUCAGGAAGUGCCAGUCACAUAGAACAAUCAUAGGAGAGGCUUUUGGCCCUGGGAAGGGGUCAGGACUAGCUGCCUCUUAAGGUCUAGAUCUAGAAUUCUAGGAGAGAUCCUGAGCUGGAAGAGACUACAGAACCUCCGGCAGGAAGACUCAAGGUCAAAUCCAACUGUUGAUCUUCAAGUCACCUGACCACUGUCUGCCUCAGUUUCCUCGUCUGUAAAAUGGGAAUAAUAACAGCACUUCCCUCCAGGGGUUGAGAUAAGGAUGCCUAUGCAGGGGGUCCAGAGCCAGGAGUCCAGCCCAUGUGGGGUUCACUGGCUCAGGGGUCUAGUGUGGGGGACUACUCCCAGGUCACCAAAGUAUUGCGAAGGCCCAGAAAACAGCUGUCAUUUCAGUGACCCACCAAAAUGGGACUGGAUGGGGAGCCAACAUUUGUGCCUCUCCUCCCCAGGCCAGGAAGGACACAAACAGCCCAGAAGAACCCAAGAGAGAAUCUGACCUGGAAGACUCAGCAAUAACACAUCUUAAAAUCUUUUUUUUUUUCACUUUCUGAAUGAUUCCAACAAGAAAGAAGCUCUUUGCUAACAAAGCCGGAGUCUCCGAGCUGAGUGGCUGCUGGGAAUCACACCCAAGGAGGAAGAACCCGGCAAAGUUAAAAAAAAAAAAAAAAAAAAAAAAAAAAAAAAAAAAAAAAAAAAACAACAAAAAACCGCCUUUCAUGCCAUUUUUUCCAAUACUUAAAGGAAACAUUGAAAUCACUCCAUUAAAAUGGAAAAGUUAAAGUCGCUGCCAUUUUUAUGAAGGGAAAGAAACAGUCCCCGCUCUUGGUUGUUAAUUCUUUUUUAACCAUUCCCACACCCCGGCAUCUGCGAGCCGCCAGCUGUCCAGGCUAAUGACGUGUACAAGACUCAUUUUCCAACGGUGGCGUUCAUUAAUCUCUAGAAGCUUUCUGCAGCUCUCCACACCAAGGGCCUGGAGCAAGGGACUCGCACCCUGGGGGGGCAGGAGGGGAGGAGAGAGGAGUGGGGGGCCAGAUCCGCGGCUGCCUGUGCCUCCUCUCACCCCCCAGGGUCCCUGCUCUGCUCUGGAGGUCCCGGGACUUCCUGGAGGACCCCAGGCCAGCGAUGGAGAUCCCUUCCUGUGCAGCCCUCACCGACUCCAAAAGCAGCCAGCGCAGAGCCAGAGGAUGGGGCUCCGCUCCGAGAGACAUGGCGUUCUCCAGUUCCAAGAUCUUCCCCAACAGCCUCUCGCUCGCACGGCUGGUCCCCAGAAGGCAACGCUGAAGUCCGUGAGAAAUCGCUCCUCCGGACACCCACAGCCGAGGCCUCGGGUGGGCCCGCCCAGGGUCUCUGCUGGGAGGGGGGCGUCAUACCUCCAGGCCCCCGGCUCCUUCCCAAGAUGAGGGAGACAGAGAAGAGGAGGCCCCGGGCUGGGUCAGGGCCAGAGCGGCUCGGCUUCCAUCACUGGGAAUCCCGAUUCAGCCCCUUACUGGCUUAGGGGAUUCCUUGGCAGAUUCCUGUGUGCCAGGCACGGGGCAGCUGUUCCUGCCCUCAAGGGGCUCCCACCCAUCGAGGGAGGGAGCCACACAAAGCAGUUUGUACAAAACAAAUGCAAAGUUGUUGGGGGAGAGGAUUAAAGGAAAAGGCUUCCAACUGAAGGCCAAGCACCAGCCAGGGCUCCCCAAGGCUUCCAUUUCUCCACCCUUGGUGGGGGGAGGGUUGGGCCCAGUCCCUCCAAGUUCUGCGACUGUGGUUCUGCUGCAAACCCUCCGGGGUCAAACACGCUCGAGGCUUGGAGUGGCCUCCUCUCCGAAGUGACUUCAUGACCGUUUUUUGGGCUUAACCCCCUUCCAGGCGCUGGAGGCACAAGGAGCCCCCGUCCUCUCCUUCCCACACAAGUGGGGAGGCCUCUGGGGCUCCCCCACCCAGCCCCUGGGGCGAUCUCUGACAUUACACACCUCUCGUCUCCUCAGCACACAGUGGGCACUUAAUAAACACGGCCUGAUCCAGUAUACCUGUCUGUGUGCUGCCUCCCCCUCCUGCUUAGCACAGCACCUCUUAUG